rnacentral:rRNA from 1 species
GACGAACGCUGGCGGCGUGCUUAACACAUGCAAGUCGAACGGUAAGGCCCUUCGGGGUACACGAGUGGCGAACGGGUGAGUAACACGUGGGUGAUCUGCCCUGCACUUUGGGAUAAGCCUGGGAAACUGGGUCUAAUGCCGGAUAGGACCAUGGCAUGCAUGUGCUGUGGUGGAAAGCUUUUGCGGGGUGGGAUGGGCCCGCGGCCGAUCAGCUUGUUGGUGGGGUGAUGGCCUACCAAGGCGACGACGGGUAGCCGGCCUGAGAGGGUGUCCGGCCAAACUGGGACUGAGAUACGGCCCAGACUCCUACGGGAGGCAGCAGUGGGGAAUAUUGCACAAUGGGCGCAAGCCUGAUGCAGCGACGCCGCGUGGGGGAUGACGGCCUUCGGGUUGUAAACCUCUUUCAAUAGGGACGAAGCGCAAGUGACGGUACCUAUAGAAGAAGCACCGGCCAACUACGUGCCAGCAGCCGCGGUAA